AUGAUUGAUAGUCUUCAUCUCAUAUGGACAAAUUACAGUCUUUCAGGAUAAGACCAAAGGACCAAAGCAUCUGUCAGUGGAUUACGAGCAGAUGUGGAAGACUGAAUUAUUCCCAGGCACAUACCACAUGCGUCUUUCUUCAGAGGUUUCCUGCUGUUUAGUGACCCAGAGAUACUGACAACCCACAACUCCUCAGAGAACUUGACCAAUAGCAAAAUCCUUCCCAGGAAUGCAAAGAGGAGCAGAAGGAGAAACCUAAGAAUUGGACGAAUGCGAUGGGUUCCCGUUACAAACAGCAGGCUGGCGCUGAGGACUUCAAAGAACUGUGGAGAGAGAGGAGAGCCAAGAAGAUGAGACUUGAGAACAGUGGGUGGAAUGAGCAGAAUGGCUAAUGUGGAGGCAAGAGAGUUGGAGAGGGAGCCCUGGUUAGACCAAGAGCACGUCAGAUGGACUGAUUCCUAGAGCUGCGAAAGAGGAAAAGACUAGUGUGGCUAUCCAAGACAAGAAGAAAAGCAGUUGAUAAAGCCUCUGGAAAGCUGCCUGUGGAAGGUGAAAAUGAUGGAAGCAGACAAGCAGGAAAAAUACACACUCUUGAACAAUGACUCUGAUUUGGAAGAGUUUGAUAAAAGUAAAGUGUCGCUGACGCAACGUCCCCAAAAUGGGAAACCACACUCUAGAUGCCAAAAUUCCAGAAGGCCUCAGUGGUUCUGCCACAGCUUUUUCCUCUUGCUGAUACUAACUUCACAAAUGAUUUUAAGUUUCUUUGUUCUGAAAUUUCAUCGUGAACUGGAGAUCCUAAAGCAGAGAGAAGCUGAAGUCCUGAAGCCUGUCUCUCUGAAGAGUAAUGCCAGUGAGCAGAAGGAUGCAGAAAUAAAUAACAGCAGGAAAGAACAGACGGAAUUCAAAUUCAAAGACUCAAACCAGCAGGGCAUUCCUUCCACAGGCAAGAUGGUUUCCAAGAAGUCUAGCAAACAGUCUGUAUUCACUGAGAAGAACACAACCGGCUACCUUCCGGAAAAAAUCCAGGAUAUUUCCCACCUACUUGAGUGUGUUUAUAAACUGAAUGAGUCCACUGCUUUGGAGUUUCAAGAAGUGAAGGACAGAAUAACUCAGCUGCAAAACCACCUGCUUAAUUUAACAGACCGCUUUUUUUCCACGGAGAUUGCCAUGGAUUCUCUCAUUCAUUCUGUCAGGGCCCAGAAUCCCGUCGAUUCGAAAAUGAGCACGAUGGAGAAACGAUUCGAUAACACCACCCAGGCACUGAAUAACCUUGAAAAGCGCCUCGAGCAGGGCCUAGACACAGCCUUUCUGCAGAUCUCCCAACUUAAAGAUGACUUCUACCUGAUUGAAAACUCCCCGAACCACACCAGUUCGCAACACGUAACUCCUUCGGCUCUACCAGCAGAACCUGCGGAGGUUCCAGAAAUGAUGUUCUCUCGGCCUGGCCUCCCAUCUGCAACCACCAACCCAACGAAUGAAGCUCCUGAACAGGGCAUUACUGCUGAAACCUUCACAGCAGCAGCAGUGGAGCAAGAGACGUCGGACAAGAUGCCCAAAAUCAACAUAUCUUUCAUCAAGAAUCUUUCAGACCUGCAAGUCUUCUUCUAUGGUGCCGACAAAAAUGCAAAUGGGUAUUUAACUUUCCCUGAAAUAGAAAACCUUCUGGGAGAGGACACACCUAAGAAAGAGCAGCUUGAUUUGUUCGAUGUGGAUAGCAACCACAUGUAUUCUUAUCUUGAAAUGAUAAGGGCUCUUCAACUGACAGAACCUCUCCAAAACCCACCAGACCAUGACAAACGCAUCUGGAAAGUAGCGUGUCUUGAAGACAAACCUGGCUUAGAGGGCUGGUGAAAAGCAACUGGAUGGGUGAAUCCCUUAACGGACAGGUUAAUGGAAGUUUUUAGUCCUGUCCUGAAAUCCAAUGAUAACUAAACAAUGGAUUUGCAUGGCGGGGCUUACCUGGCAGGCCUUAACUGCUAGAGCAAGCGUGAUGCUUUAUUUAAUCUCUAUGGCAAUUUGAGAUUCAUUCAGUCGUAUUUUUUGAACACUUAUUGCAUGCAGAGCACUGUACUAAGCGCUUGGAAAGUACAAUCCAGCAAUAAAGAGAGACAAUCUCUGCCCACACGGGGAUAGAUUCUAAGGACUCAAGAUGCCAAACCGAUGUCCCUUGACUCUAACCUGUACACUUGGACGGUAUAAGAGCAUUUCUUCUUUUGAAUUUAAGACAAAGCUUGAUUCCUAACCAAAAAUGUUUCUCAUUACAGAAUGAACGAAAGAGAAGAUAAAAUGCCAGACAAGGGCAGGAUGUAUGGAGUGCCUUGUCUACGUCUUCACUCGAACGCUCUUUUAGCAUAUCUGUGGCUAGGACAUCGAGGAACCCUUACUGAGUGCCUUUCCCAGGAGGAGAAGCAUAUCUGAUUCCAUGCUACUGACCAGUUAUCAACCCACCUUGAGUGUGCAGAACCUCACGCUACGGUUCGCUCGUGCAUCAUGCAAAAUUCAAAUCAUUCGGUAACCACUAAAGACAUAGCUUUUGACACAGAGGUCAAGGUCACAUGACUUGCCUCGAUUCUUCGCCCAGCAGUGAGUCCCAAUAUUUUGAAGAAUCGGGCCUGGGAUAUGUCUUCUUAAAUAUGGUCAGGGUCACAGAACCACCGACAAUCCAACUCCUCCCAUCUUGAAACCCUCUACGGGAAUCUCAAGAUCCAUCCCAUCUCUCACUGUGCCUUCACCCACCUGAUACCAUCUAGGACUUCUUCCUUCUGCUGUCAUGGCAUGGAUUUCAGAUUCAUUCAUUCAGUUGUAUUUACAGGACGGUGAGGAUGUCUAGAAAGGGAAUCGGAAAGCAGUCAACUCUCCUCAUUCCUAGAGCCAACCUCUGCCACAAACAGCGGCGAACAACGGGAUCCAAACUCUCUUGGAUUCCUCCCUGAUCUUCCUCACCCGGAUGUGAUACACCCUGUGGUAGACUAAAAUCACCAGUUCCUGAAAAUAAAAGAGCACAUUCAAGGGUUUCAAAACCCCAGUGACAUAAUUGAGCCACUGUAUAGGCAUAUGAUUUUUUUUACUGUAUAAAAUCAAUUAGCCAUUUCAAAUGCUCUUGCUUAAAUUAAGCUCUCUCCAAAUCUUAGAUUUGUAGAGCUUUUCCAAAUUUGCUUCUGUCUAGGAAGUUUAUAAAAGGCUGAAAGACCUGAUUCUUCUUAACCCUGUGAAUUCCAAUAAAAUACUGAAUCUAUGUUUA